AGCCUUGUGAUUUGAACCCCUUUUGGCUUACAUUUUGUAGUUUGAUCCUUAGGGUAUAGUUGAGCUAACCACUUGUGGGGGUACCACAUGCAUGUCCUCUUGACACAAGGGCAUGACACCUUCCGUGGCGGUGUGAUUAGUCCACGGCGUAUCCUUUUGUAUGCUCUGGGUAUGAGCUUUGGCCAUUUGAUAUAUUUGUUCAGGAUACGUAUGGGUCGACCCAGUAUUUGAUUUGAUUCGAUUUGUUUG
rnacentral:lncRNA from 1 species